AUUGAACGCUGGCGGCAUGCCUUACACAUGCAAGUCGAACGGCAGCACGGGUGCUUGCACCUGGUGGCGAGUGGCGAACGGGUGAGUAAUACAUCGGAACAUGUCCUGUAGUGGGGGAUAGCCCGGCGAAAGCCGGAUUAAUACCGCAUACGAUCUACGGAUGACAGCGGGGGACCUUCGGGCCUCGCGCUAUAGGGUUGGCCGAUGGCUGAUUAGCUAGGUGGUGGGGUAAAGGCCUACCAACGCGACGAUCAGUAGCUGGCCUGAGAGGACGAACAGCCACACUGGGACUGAGACACGGCCCAGACUCCUACGGGAGGGAGCAGUGGGGAAUUUUGGACAAUGGGCGAAAGCCUGAUCCAGCAAUGGCGCGUGUAGGAAGAAGGCCUUCGGGUUGUAAAGCACUUUUGUCCGGAAAGAAAUCCUUGGCCCUAAUACGGUCGGGGGAUGACGGUACCGGAAGAAUAAGCACCGGCUAACUACGUG
rnacentral:rRNA from 1 species